rnacentral:rRNA from 1 species
AGUAACGCGUGGGUAACCUGCCUCAUACAGGGGGAUAACAGUUAGAAAUGACUGCUAAUACCGCAUAAGCGCACAGUGCUGCAUGGCACAGUGUGAAAAACUCCGGUGGUAUGAGAUGGACUCGCGUCUGAUUAGUUAGUUGGUGGGGUAACGGCCUACCAAGGCGACGAUCAGUAGCCGGCCUGAGAGGGUGAACGGCCACAUUGGGACUGAGACACGGCCCAA